rnacentral:rRNA from 1 species
CAUGCAAGUCGAACGGUGACGGUGGAGCUUGCUCUGCCUGAUCAGUGGCGAACGGGUGAGUAACACGUGAGUAACCUGCCCCUCACUCUGGGAUAACAUCGGGAAACCGGUGCUAAUACUGGAUAUGAGAUGCCUCCGCAUGGAGAGUGUCUGGAAAGAUUUAUCGGUGAGGGAUGGACUCGCGGCCUAUCAGCUUGUUGGUGGGGUAAUGACCCACCAAGGCGACGACGGGUAGCCGGCCUGAGAGGGCGACCGGCCACACUGGGACUGAGACACGGCCCAGACUCCUACGGGAGGCAGCAGUGGGGAAUAUUGCACAAUGGGCGAAAGCCUGAUGCAGCGACGCCGCGUGCGGGAUGACGGCCUUCGGGUUGUAAACCGCUUUCAGCAGGGAAGAAGCGAGAGUGACGGUACCUGCAGAAGAAGCGCCGGCUAACUACGUGCCAGCAGCCGCGGUAAUACGUAGGGCGCAAGCGUUGUCCGGAAUUAUUGGGCGUAAAGAGCUCGUAGGCGGUUUGUCGCGUCUGCUGUGAAAACCUCAGGCUCAACCUGGGGCUUGCAGUGGGUACGGGCAGACUAGAGUGCGGUAGGGGUGACUGGAAUUCCUGGUGUAGCGGUGGAAUGCGCAGAUAUCAGGAGGAACACCGAUGGCGAAGGCAGGUCACUGGGCCGCAACUGACGCUGAGGAGCGAAAGCAUGGGGAGCGAACAGGAUUAGAUACCCUGGUAGUCCAUGCCGUAAACGUUGGGCACUAAGUAGAGGGGUU